UACCAGCACCCCGAGUGGUCGGGGCGAUUAUUGGGCCUAAAGCAUCCGUAGCCGGUUCUGCAAGUCCUCCGUUAAAUCCAGCUGCUCAACAGAUGGGCCGCGGAGGAUACUACAGAGCUAGGAGGCAGGAGAGGCAAGCGGUACUCAGUGGGUAGGGGUAAAAUCCGUUGAUCCAUUGAAGACCACCAGUGGCGAAGGCGGCUUGCCAGAAUGCGCUCGACGGUGAGGGAUGAAAGCUAGGGGAGCGAAAGGG
rnacentral:rRNA from 1 species